UUAAAGAAUAAAGACCACCAGCAUGAUUGAAAUGACUCUUUAGGAGCAAUUUGACGAAUGGAUGCAAAUUAAUUAUGAUUAUCUGUUUCAGUAUUCACAGGCGUCACAUUUGUGAGUUCCAUACUACAUAUAGUAUUUAUUGAAAGACAUGACGUGAAUUACUCAUAUGAUAUCCUGUUCUGAAUUGAUGUGGUUCUACUUGGCAGAACAUGGCAUUUGACACAGACCUGUGAAUCACAGCGACUUGUGAUAUAAUCCAAUAAUAUUAAUAACAAUCAAAAUUAUUGCAUCGUCGUACUCAUCAUAUACAGACAUUUGGGAAUAAUAAAAUCUCUUUACGAUACUCAUAUCGGAUUUUUUCAUUGUUGAAGGUCGUAUGGUGACCCAUCGUUGUUAAUUUCUGUGUCAGUUUUGUAAAUCAGAUGUUGAUACUAACAAAAAUCCAAGUAUUGUUGUUUGCUAACAUUUGAAAAAAACAACUGCAUGGGACUCUUUGAAGUAAAAUUGAAUAUAAUAAAAAAAGUUUAAAGCAAAGUUUUGGUUUUGUGCAUUUCAAAUGCGUU
rnacentral:lncRNA from 1 species